GGAGGAAGAGGUCUCUGGCACAGGAGAGGCACAGUCAGGCGUGCUCUGGAAGUGACACCUGAGCCAGCAGAAGCAGCAGUGGUAGCAGCUGGUGCACUCGGGGCUCGGGCAGGAGACAGUCUGACGUGGGCUCGACCAACAGGUAAAUGCACCUGUGCUCCAGGAGGGGUGGGAGGGACCAAUGAGGGAGGGAGAAGCCCCGGAGGCUCCCAGCAAUGACAGAGGGCAGAAAACUCCGUCCCUCUACCUGGUGAGAGGGGUAGGCACCACCAGGAGGAGUAACUGCCGCUGGGAACAUGACCUGGAGCAGGAAGGGAGCAGACCAGCCUCCAGAUCUCCUUCCCCAGCUUUCCAUGGGCAGUUGCCAGAACUGGCCUCUGGCUGUAGGGGUCUGCGGGAGUCAGGACCUGGGGACACAGAGCAGGGCAGAGAAGGGUGGCAAGAGGAUGGGAGCAGGGUGGGCUAACAGAAAGGACUUACCGUCCAGACCAGACUGGGAUGGGUGUCACGGUUUGGGAGAGAUAGACAACCAGGGCAGUUACAAAGGAAAAGUUAUGGGCACGGUGGCUGAGGCAGGAGGAUGGCAAGUUCAAAACCAGCCCCAGCAACUGAGUGAGGCCCUGUCUCUCAAUAAAAUAAUAAAAAGUGCUGGGGAUGUGACUCAGUGGUCAAGCACUGCUAGGUCAAUCCCUGGGACCAAAAAAUAAAAGGUGGUCUUGAGAGAAAUGUGGGGACACUUACGGAAACAAGACUGGCAGAAUUUGAUGAGCAGGAUCUGCAGGGCAAAGACCUCAGGCGCCUGCUAAGUGCCAGGUGUGCACAUAGCAGAUCUUCAAAUUUAAUUUAAAAAUAAACUACCACAAAGAUCUACUCUAACAUCUUUUUCAUCUGAGAGGCUUGAAAUGCACCCGUGGAGAUGAACGAUCAGCUAGGCCGGUGGGAAAACUGUCAGAGUCAAAAUGGAGCCUCCUGUGUCCAGCGCUAACCUAAAUAAACAAAGUCAGGCGUCUGUGGAGAGGGGGUCUCAUGCACACCCGCCUUUCAACAAGACUCUGCCAGAACCACCACCUUGCACAAAGGCCACCACACCCUGACACAGAGAAACACUUCUGCCAAGUCCCUCUGCUCAGCAACUGCCCGUCCAACUUUGGAACGACACCACCCUCGGUAUUGAUCCCUGUAGCCAAAGUUGAUUGAUUCAAUUAACGUAUGUAACUUUCCCCAUUGUACUUUUUUUUUUUUUUUUGGUACCAGGGAUUGUACCCAGGGGCACUUAAUCAUUGAGCCACAUCCCCAGCCCUUUUUAUAUUUUAUAGAGAGACAGGGUCUCACUGAGUUGCUUAGGCCUUGCUGAGUUGCUGAAACUGGCUUUGAACUCGCGAUCCUCCUGUCUCAGCCUCCCGAGCCGCUGGGACGACAGGUGUGCGCCACCACACCCGGCUCCUGCUGUACCUUUAAAAUCUCCUGGCUUCCACCUCUGAGUCGGCUCACAGCUUACCAUGCACACAGAUUCCUAUUUCGACGCUCUGCUAUUCCCAAAUGAAUGCAUUAAUGUUUGGAGGAUCGCUUGUUAUUACUUAGAGGGUUGCUUAUUGUUAUAUAGUUUGUCACAGGAUUGUCCUGGAGGGUCCUGGACAGCAGAAUCACCUCCUCAUUGCAGUCACCCCUCACCUGCUAUGGACUGUUGAGUGGGUCUUUCUCACCCUGGAGAGGAGGAAACAGAGGCUCAGGGAAGUCCAGGGAACAUCACAAAGCAAGACUGUCACAGAGCUGAAACUAGGAGACGCCCGUCUUCCACUUUGCCUCUCCCAAGCUGGCUUGAUGGUCCUGCCCAGUCCAGCUGGGGACAUGCUGUCACCCACCUUGCACCCAGGAUGGGCCUUGUUUCCUCCACAUCCACCCUCUCUGUCUCCUGGGCAGCCAGGGUCCCAAGAUGAACACAUCACAUCUUUGCCACGGAAAACACAUGGGGACAAAUCAAGAUGGCACUGGCCGGGCUCCCCACAGUGAACACCCGCCCUGGCUUCCACAGUCUCCACUCUGCACGCUACUGGGCAGUCCAUUGCAGUGACUGGGAAAUAAAUGAUACCACUCUAAGUGGUUCAUUAUCCUGUCACAGUUUCUGGCAAGUCCUCGAGCCUGGCUUGCUUUAUGUCUAGUUACACGUCGCCGUGCGAGUCCCCCA
rnacentral:lncRNA from 1 species